rnacentral:rRNA from 1 species
ACCUGCGGAAGGAUCAUUAUUGAACUAAGUCGGAUUCGAUGCUGGCCCUUAACCCGGGCAUGUGCUCGUCCUUCAUUUUUCUAACCUUCUUUAUGUGCACAUUUGUAUGCCCCUGAGUAACGAGCGCCUCUCGCAGCAAUGCGGUUUGCUUGGGACUGACGGCCUGGUCGUCUUUCCUGCAAUGCUCUCUGGGGGCUACGUUUUUAUAUACAAGUCAGUUAUAGAAUGUCUUUUAAUGACUGUUGCCUAGCGCAUGGUCUUAAACAAUUACAACUUUCAGCAACGGAUCUCUUGGCUCUCCCAUCGAUGAAGAACGCAGCGAAAUGCGAUAAGUAAUGUGAAUUGCAGAAUUCAGUGAAUCAUCGAAUCUUUGAACGCACCUUGCGCCCUUUGGUAUUCCGAAGGGCAUGCCUGUUUGAGUGUCAUUAAAUUAUCAACCUUGCUUGCUUUUACCGGCUUGAGCUGAGGCUUGGACGUGGGGGUUUUUGCUGGCUUCCUUCAGUGGAUGGUCUGCUCCCCUUAAAUUCAUUAGUGGGAUCUCUUGUGGACCGUCACUUGGUGUGAUAAUUAUCUAUGCCGUUUGACCUUGAAGCAAAUUUAUGGGACCCGGCUUAUAACCGUCUCUUACCGGGACAAUUUAAUAACAUCUUGACCUCAAAUCAGGUAGGACUACCCGCUGAACUUAAGCAUAUCAAUAAGCGGAGGAAAAGAAACUAACAAGGAUUCCCCUAGUAACUGCGAGUGAAGCGGGAAAAGCUCAAAUUUAAAAUCUGGCGGUCCUU